CAGCAUGCUAUCCUAAGGACCGGGGCUUGUUUGUAGCUCUAGGGUUCUCCAAGUGCAUGCCAGAUAAAAGGUCGGUCUUUGACUGUUCUGGCCUCUUAUGCCAUCAGCAGCCACUCAACUGUCCAACAGAU